rnacentral:rRNA from 1 species
AGUGAACGCUGGCGGUAGGCCUAACACAUGCAAGUCGAACGGCAGCACAGUAAGAGCUUGCUCUUACGGGUGGCGAGUGGCGGACGGGUGAGGAAUACAUCGGAAUCUACUUUUUCGUGGGGGAUAACGUAGGGAAACUUACGCUAAUACCGCAUACGACCUACGGGUGAAAGCAGGGGAUCUUCGGACCUUGCGCGAUUGAAUGAGCCGAUGUCGGAUUAGCUAGUUGGCGGGGUAAAGGCCCACCAAGGCGACGAUCCGUAGCUGGUCUGAGUGGAUGAUCAGCCACACUGGAACUGAGACACGGUCCAGACUCCUACGGGAGGCAGCAGUGGGGAAUAUUGGACAAUGGGCGCAAGCCUGAUCCAGCCAUACCGCGUGGGUGAAGAAGGCCUUCGGGUUGUAAAGCCCUUUUGUCGGGAAAGAAAAGCAGCAGGUUAAUACCCCGCUGUUCUGACGGUACCCAAAGAAUAAGCACCGGCUAACUUCGUG